AGUGGUAUAGCUCAGUGGUAGAGCGCAUGCUUAGCAUGCCCAAGGUCCUGGGUUCAAUCCCCAGUACCUCCA
rnacentral:tRNA from 1 species